rnacentral:misc_RNA from 1 species
GGUAAGGGAGCGACGUUUGAACUUCAUCACAUUGUGUUGGCAAAGUAAUAUAAACCAUAGGACAAAAGAGAUUUGCCUCAUUAUCCAUCGUGCGGGCGGUGAAUUCGGAGCAUGUAACAGAGAAUCUAGUGAGAGUAGCAGUAUUAUAAGCAGACACUUCUCGUAACGAAAUAGGCAAUCGAUUACGACAAGAUGUUAUCGUUGAUGAAUGUUACCGUUAUCCCGUUUCUGCUAGGGGCUCUAAUGUCCGUCGAAGACGUGAAAGAAUGGAAUUUCGGUCCAGUAUACGUAUUCAAACUGAAAAAACUCACUAGGGUGUACAUGGAUCUGGAGCUAGGAAUUUACGUAAACGAAGAGAUAACUGCUAUGUUGCGGUGUCGUCCAAAAUUAUCGCUCCAAAGUAUCCAAGAUGUUCUGUUCUGUCAUACGAAGAACAUCAUCGGCCGUACAAAUAUCACGCGGCAGAUAUAUGAUAAUUGGAAAGAUAUUUCCAAUUUCAUAUUCGAAAGAUCUAUUGGUAUAAAUGACGGAAAGUCAAUCAAUUUUCAUGAAGAAUCAAUAAGAAUACCGGACCGUAAAUUUAAAAUAAAAUUUGACAGACAAGGUGUGCUGAAUUUUAAAGUGAAAGGAAGGAAAAAAAAAAUACAUCAUUAUGACAUCAUGACAGAUAUCAUCGAUCAAUUCAACAUUGGCACUGAUUUGAGUAUCGUAGCAGUAGACAGCAUGAGAACUUAUACAUUCAAGAGACCAUAUGUAAUCAGCACUUUUACGCUAAAUGAGGAAAACACGACGAGAGCUUCUAAAUGCAACACGUCAGGAUCAAUUAUGUCUCCACUCAAUAUAUUAAAUCAAUAUAAUAAAUACGCAAAUAAUUUGGUCAAAAAGAAUAAAACAAAAUUUGGGUUUCAACUCAGACUGCUACCGAUAUCUUACACAAAUCCCACCGGUAAGCUUUUUGAUAGAAAGAAAUAGAAUGGCAUGCACUCAUCAACCGCAAUACCUCAUGCUUUCUAACGAGAAAUGGAAGAUUCACAAUAUGAAACGGUAUUCUAACAUAAUGAAUAUCCGCAAUAAAAACCGGAGAUUCACAAGUUAUACUCGUUUAGAGGGGGAUGUUUAUUUCCCAACAACCACAAGGACAAUAUAUAAUUUUCGGGAAGAUGUGUACCUCCAUCUAGUCCGUAUCAAACCUGCCCGAAAAGAACUCAAUCCAGCUAAAUAUAAAUAAGAUCGUAAUGAAAUCAGAGAAACAGGGAAAUACAUAAUUAUACUGAAACAUAAAAGAUUUAUAAAACCUAAGAGGGCUUAUAAACAAACCAGCAUUUGUCUAUGUAUACAUAUAUAAUAUUUAUUAUAUAUAUAUAUAUGUUCAAAAUUUGAAAUAAGAAAAAUUAUGUUAAGAACAUUUCUCAAACUAACGUUUUCUUUCUCGUUUGUGAUGUAUGAUAUUUUUCAUAACAUUUUACGGUUGAUCCUUUAGAAAUAUACAUUAAAAUUAAGCUGCCAUUGUGUAUCAAAGUUAAUAUGACUUGUUGAUCAUAUAUAUUCAUUAUUCUGUUUAAAAAUUCUUUUUAUUUAAUAUUUUUAUAUUAAUUAU